CACACGAAUAGCCGCUGGCUAUAUCUAAUAUUCUUUCUCUUUUCAUUUCUUUUUUCUCAAAAACAUAUUUCUUUCUCUACCAUUUGCAUUUAUAUGAGUGUAUUACUUUGAAGCUUUGAUUUUUUUUGUUUCGCGGUAUACUUAUUGAUUAUUCGCUAAUACUGGUACUUGUUUCUCUUAUUUUUUUUCUGUUUCUCCUUUAUUUGCUUUUUAAGCAACCUUUUAAAUCUACCUGUGAAAUAAAUAUCAUCGCCUUUUUUCAUUUUCUUUUUUCAUUUCCACAUUCUUUUCUCUUCUUACUCCUCUGUGAUACUAUAUUUUGGGUCGUUAGAACGCAUUGACUUCAAUCUACUUUCUCUUCCCUGCAUUUUUACCAAGCCUUCCGAAUAUAUUUAUUCCAGUUUUUCUAUAUUCUUUUUUUUUAUUUUUUUUACUUCCAUUGUACUCCUCAUAAUCAUUAUUAUCUUGGAAAUUUAACUUUCCCUUUUCAUUUUUUUCUUCUCUAAAACUCCUUCUUUCACUGUCGACCAUACUGUUGACUUUUCUCCUCUUCUUUUAUAAGAUAAAAUACACUUCUACGCGUCUUUAGAAUUCUUUGAUUGAUUAUUCUUUCGUACUACUUUGAAUUGUAUACUUUGCUUUUUUGGUCAUACUCUUGUUCAUUUCACUUUGUUUUAUUCUCCAUCAAUUUCUUGGAGUAAGUCUAAUACUCUUGUUCGGUAUCUUUACUUAGUAAGCUUAAUUUUUUAAAAAAUUAAAAAAAAAAAAAUUUUUACCAUUGUUAGGCUCAUAUUCCUUUCCACAUCAUUC